rnacentral:rRNA from 1 species
AUUGCACGCUGGCGGCAGGCCUAACACAUGCAAGUCGAACGAGUGGCGGACGGGUGAGUACUGUAUGGGAAACUGCCUGAUGGAGGGGGAUAACUCCUGGAAACGGUAGCUAAUACCGCAUACCAUCAGCUGUGCCCAGAUGGGAUUAGCUUGUUGGUGGGUUACCGGCUCAACAAGGCGACGAUCCCUAGCUGGUCGGAGAGGAUGAACAGUCACACUGGAACUGAUAAACGGGCCAGACACCUACGGGAGGCAGCAGUGGGGAGUAUUGCACAAUUGGCGCAAUCCUGAGGCAGCCAUGCCGAGGGUAUGAAGAAGGCCUUCGGGUUGUAAAGUACUUUCAGCGGGGAGGCGUUACCCGCAGAAGAAGCACCGGCUAAAUCCGUGCCAGCAGCCGCGGGAAUUC